rnacentral:misc_RNA from 1 species
UUUCGCCAUCUGGCAGUCUC